rnacentral:rRNA from 1 species
UACAGAGGGUGCAAGCGUUGUUCGGAAUUAUUGGGCGUAAAGGGCGCGUAGGCGGUGCCACAAGUCACCUGUGAAAUCUCCGGGCUUAACUCGGAGCCUGCAGGCGAAACUGUGGUGCUGGAGUGUGGGAGAGGUGCGUGGAAUUCCCGGUGUAGCGGUGAAAUGCGCAGAUAUCAGGAGGAACACCAAUAGCGAAGGCAGCUCGCUGGGACGUUACUGACACUGAGGCGCGAAAGCGUGGGGAGCGAACAGG